GCCAAACUGAGGGGUAGCUCAGUUGGUAGAGCAUGAGAACUCUUAAUCUCAGGGUCGUGGGUUUGUGCCCCACAUUGGGCA